AUUGAACGCUGGCGGCAUGCCUUACACAUGCAAGUCGAACGGUAACAAGUCUUCGGACGCUGACGAGUGGCGAACGGGUGAGUAAUACAUCGGAACGUGCCCAGUCGUGGGGGAUAACUACUCGAAAGAGUAGCUAAUACCGCAUACGAUCUGAGGAUGAAAGCGGGGGACCUUCGGGCCUCGCGCGAUUGGAGCGGCAGAUGGCAGAUUAGGUAGUUAGUGGGAUAAAAGCUUACCAAGCCGACGAUCUGUAGCUGGUCUGAGAGGACGACCAGCCACACUGGGACUGAGACACGGCCCAGACUCCUACGGGAGGCAGCAGUGGGGAAUUUUGGACAAUGGGCGAAAGCCUGAUCCAGCAAUGCCGCGUGCAGGAUGAAGGCCUUCGGGUUGUAAACUGCUUUUGUACGGAACGAAAAAGCUCCUUCUAAUACAGGGGGCCCAUGACGGUACCGUAAGAAUAAGCACCGGCUAACUACGUGCCAGCCGCCGCAGUAAAAC
rnacentral:rRNA from 1 species